CAGAGGGGCAAGCGUUGUUCGGAAUUACUGGGCGUAAAGGGCGCGUAGGCGGCCUGUUAAGUCGAACGUGAAAUCCCCGGGCUCAACCCGGGAACUGCGUCCGAUACUGGCAGGCUUGAAUCCGGGAGAGGGAUGCGGAAUUCCAGGUGUAGCGGUGAAAUGCGUAGAUAUCUGGAGGAACACCGGUGGCGAAGGCGGCAUCCUGGACCGGCAUUGACGCUGAGGCGCGAAAGCCAGGGGAGCAAACGGGAUUAGAUACCCCGGUAGUCCUGGCCCUAAACGAUGAAUGCUUGGUGUGGCGGGUAUCGAUCCCCGCCGUGCCGAAGCUAACGCAUUAAGCAUUCCGCCUGGGGAGUACGGUCGCAAGGCUG
rnacentral:rRNA from 1 species